AUACUGCUGCCAAUGUUCUGCCAAGAGUGCAUUUUAUGUAUAAUCAUUUGAUAGUUAACUAUCUUAACACAAAAUUUAAAACUCGUAAUUAUCUUUAUACAGGUAGGACUGCCUAAGGAUGGAUUAAACAAUAUUGGAGGUGCAAUUUGCGGCAUACCCAGGGACACUCAAUUACUCCCAUGGCAGGGCAGGACCCCCCCCCCGGCACCCAGUGAAUGCCGACUUGUUCUUUUCUGCAAUGAAGACUUGUUUAGGGACGUCUUGGGAUCUAAGUGCAGAAUUUGAAGCAAAUGUGACAUCAACCCUCUAGACCGAUGAGAGAAACAACACUGAACUUAAAUUUCGGAUAUAACCCUGAACAAUUGUCAUCAAUCACAUGACAUGCUGCUCACCACUAGAGGAAGACCCCUAUUGAAUUUGGCGUUGAUUCCUCUAAGUAACUGACCAGACACUAGAAGGUCCAGGUGCUGAUAAACUACACAAGAUCAAGUCCUGGUGUACUACACCCUACAGUGUUUCUGGCGGCUGGUGGAGCGAUUAAAGAAAAGCCAUGCUAAUGUUGCAAUGAUAUGUAUGCUAAACAAAAUAAAUAAAUUUAAAAAAAA